CGGGAACAGUGGAGGGUGCGAGGAAGACAAUGGGGGAGGACCCUGAGGCGGCCUCUGUGAGCCGACAGGAACACGUGGUCGAUCAGAGAGAGACUCGAGGUUCGUGAACGGAUGGGGAGGACCCUGAAAAGCACUGUGGAAUACAGGUUUCUAGUAACUUCAAAAUCACAUCAUUUGGACUGGAACCCAAAGAUGGGAUCUUCUGAGAACAUCAGAGAAACGCUGCCCUUGGCAUCAUCACUGCAACAAAACAUCAGGAUCUUGAACCUUGGGGUCAUAAUCUCACAACUGAGCAGGGUCACUCUUGGAACUCUACAUCCAUUGAAACCCUUAAGGUAAAGCUAAUCAGGGAAGUUUCUCCCCAGAAGAAGAUGGCAUCCUUGAUGUGAGCAGCUCUUUCUGAAGAUCAUGGAUCAAGACUUCUUACUAUCAUGAGACUCUUAUCUUUGAAUGUUUUUCCGUUGCUUCCGCCUCUGUGAACAACAGAAGUGAGAAGGGGGUCUGUUUUGUGCACUUAUGGGGUAUACUUUUAUUUGUGAAGGGCUUUGCAGCCAGCUUUAUACAUGGAUAAUCUUAUAACUUGAUAGAUAAAGAUGAAGGCCCAGUGUAUCAUAGGUGAGAAACUUCAAUGGUACAUAUGGUGCCUCAUAAUCAUUCAGAAGCAGAACAUUGGUUCACUCCUCU
rnacentral:lncRNA from 10 species